AUUGAACGCUGGCGGCAGGCCUAACACAUGCAAGUCGAGCGAGCGGCGGACGGGUGCGUAAUGUAUGGGAACUGCCCGAUAGAGGGGGAUAACUACUGGAAACGGUGGCUAAUACCGCAUACCAUCAGAUAACCCAUAUGGGAUUAGCUAGUUGGUGGGGUAAAGGCUCACCUAGGCGACGAUCUCUAGCUGGUCUGAGAGGAUGAUCAGACACACUGGGACUGAGACACGGCCCAGACUCCUACGGAGGCAGCAGUAGGGAAUAUUCGGCAAUGGACGAAAGUCUGACCCAGCCACGCCGCGUGAGUGAAGAAGGUUUUCGGAUCGUAAAACACUGUUGGUAGAGAAGCGGUAUCUAAACAGAAAGCCACGGCUAACUCCGUGCCAGCAGCCGCGGUAAUAC
rnacentral:rRNA from 1 species